rnacentral:rRNA from 1 species
UACGUAGGGGGCAAGCGUUGUCCGGAAUCAUUGGGCUAAAGAGCGUGUAGGCGGCCUGAUAAGUCGGUUGUGAAAGUCAAGGGCUCAACCCUUGAAUGCCGGCCGAUACUGUCAGGCUAGAGUCCGGAAGAGGCGAGUGGAAUUCCCGGUGUAGCGGUGAAAUGCGCAGAUAUCGGGGAGGAACACCAAAUGGCGAAGGCAGCUCGCUGGGACGUUUACUGACGCUGAGACGCGAAAGCGUGGG